UUCAAAACAUUUCAAAAUGCCCGCUUCCUGCUCCUCUCUCUCUCUCUCUCUCUCUCUCUCUCUCUCUUCGGCGAUUUUAGAUCUGGAUCUAGGGUUUUUCUCCAUCACGUUUCUACUACUCCAAUUCGUCAUGUAAAUCAUUGGAAUCAAACUCAAGUCUAGGUUUUGAACUUCACGGAGUAAGUGCUUUUCUGGAUUUUGUCCAAAUUCAUUGGAAUUUAUAUUGUAGAUCUAGGUUUCAAACUUUUGAUAUGAACCGAUUUCGUUGAGGUAAUUAUUGUUUGGAUCUGUAAAUAUGAAAUCCAUACCAUUUGUUUUGUUACGGGAGUUGAGAAAAGAGUCCCACAAAGAUCGAUGAAACUGAAAACACGCAGUGAUGAACACCGAUUUGUAAGAAACCCUAACUAAAGGUUUCUUCCGGUCUUCUCUUCUGAUGGUUUCUUCCGGUCUGGUCUUCUCUGCUGAUGGUUUCUUUGGUGCAACCUAACUCUCUUUACUUCAAGUAAGUGGAACCGGAAUGCAGAAAUUGAGGGUCACUUUGGAGAAGGUUAAGCAGCAUAAUUUGCAACUUGCUCUGUCAAACAUCUGAGUGAUAGAGGAACUAUGUUUGGUCAAGGAAAGGCAAAAAGAUCUCUAUCAUGAGCCUGGCUGCAAAAAUCGCUUGAUUAUUGCAAAAAAAAAACGUGGAGUUGGAGAUGGUUGGUGCCUCUGGGAACAACUUGAUGUGUUAUGUUCAUUGAAGUCUGGUAUUUCCGAGGAGGUCUUGAAGGCUUAUGACGGCAACAAUUCUCAAAAGCCUUCUCUUAUGGCCAUCGUAAGCCAGAUCUACGAUGUCUCACAACGCUGGUAUAUUCUGCAAUUUUUAUUCUUUAUUGAAGACACUGCUGGCAAAGUUGGUUCACAAAUAGUAAGGGAGCAUUUGACGUUAGGAUUUAAUGUUCGAGCUGCUGUACAAAGUACUCAUAGCAGAAUAUUUGGUGAAAGUUGGAUAUUCGUGUUUUGCUAAACCUUUCCCUCGGCACAAUCAUGAACCUACCCCGAUCCGUACCGAAUUCGUCCUAUCUAGCGAAUCUCGAACCCGAACCGCGUACCCGAACCAGAGCGAACCGCGAUUUAGGUGACUAUGUUCUAAAUCAACAUGUCUUAUUAUUGUGCCUUUUAUUCACUCAGGCUAACUCUGAGGUGUCUGCUUUACUUGGUCGUAUACCAUCUUCUGUCGGUUACCAACUAACUUUAGCUACGGAUCUUGGAGGUCUUAAAGAGCGUAUCACCACAACUAAAAAGGGUUCUAUUACAUUCGUUCAAGCUAUCUACGUGCCUGCUGAUGAUUUAACGGAUCCCGCUCCUGCUACAACUUUUGCUCACCUGGAUACCACAACUGUGCUUUCCCAACACGACUUGUAGUUUCCUAAAAGGUAACACGCCCUGUGCUUCGUACGCGCCAGGAUUUGUUAACGCAUGUUGUAGAGGGGCGGGUCGAAACAGACGCGAUCGGGUUGACUUGCAGCUCAAAUCAGUAGCAGAACUUGCAUUUUGCUCAGUCAAAUAGUCAACUACUAACGGAUUUGAAUUCUGGCAAGGAUAUCAUGCAAUUUCGUGUGGCCAAUUUCCGUUUUCUUUACAUGUCUAUUAUCAAUUGCAUUGACACUUUUUUUUAGUUUUAUUGUGAUUUAGCUAAAAGAUUUGCAACGUCAGCUCGGAUGCAAAAAUGGUUUGCUCAUAGCAAAAAAGCUAGAGUUAGAGGGAAAAAGGAAAACUAAAGCAUGUGAAACAAAUGAAACCAAGAAGGCGAAAGUAUCCGAGCAUGAGGAGAUCGGAGUUUUUACGGUUCCCGAAAGCAGCAAAGACUAACAUUCAAACACAAAUGGAAGAAAGAAAUCCAAAUGUUUAUGCUCUACGGUUAAAAAGGUUCAGGAGAAGGGUGCGGGUGACAAUGGAAGGUCGGUAUCUAGAAGGCAAUCUGCUCGGUUUAAACAUGAUGAACCGCAGAGGACAUGCUCCAUACAAACGAGAUUGAUGAUAAAAUGCAAGGGGAUGAUAUUGCCGUUUCUGUUAAAAAGGAAGAUGAUUCGUUACCAAAUAAAGUUAGUCAAGAAGGUUCAUUCUAUUUCAAGCCUGUCUCGUGAAGUAACUAAGAAGGUUCAGUCUUAUAAGGAAAUUGGCGUCAACGUAAAAAUGUGCAGACCUGAGUGAGCGUUUUUUGAACUACUUGGUUUGAAUUCUUUUGUAAAAGAUCCUUUAGUGAAUCUGUAUGAUGUUAUUAGUAGAUAAACUGAUAUAGUAGCUAUAUGGUAGCUGCUCUGAAGAUGGUAUAGUUUGAUUAUAAGUUGUAUGUUCAAUUGGUGGACCCUCUAUUGCGUGGUCGAUUUUCGAUGCGUACGGUGCACCAUAUGGUUGCAAUAACUGCGAUGUGUCUUCAGGAUGAAGCAAAUUUUCGGCCUU